CCUACGGGGGGCAGCAGUGGGGAAUAUUGGACAAUGGGCGCAAGCCUGAUCCAGCCAUACCGCGUGGGUGAAGAAGGCCUUCGGGUUGUAAAGCCCUUUUGUUGGGAAAGAAAUCCAGCUGGUUAAUACCCGGUUGGGAUGACGGUACCCAAAGAAUAAGCACCGGCUAACUUCGUGCCAGCAGCCGCGGUAAUACGAAGGGUGCAAGCGUUACUCGGAAUUACUGGGCGUAAAGCGUGCGUAGGUGGUUAUUUAAGUCCGUUGUGAAAGCCCUGGGCUCAACCUGGGAACUGCAGUGGAUACUGGAUGACUAGAAUGUGGUAGAGGGUAGCGGAAUUCCUGGUGUAGCAGUGAAAUGCGUAGAGAUCAGGAGGAACAUCCAUGGCGAAGGCAGCUACCUGGACCAACAUUGACACUGAGGCACGAAAGCGUGGGGAGCAAACAGGAUUAGAUACCCUAGUAGUC
rnacentral:rRNA from 1 species